GAUGAACGCUGGCGGCGUGCUUAACACAUGCAAGUCGAACGAAGCUGCUUAAAGGAAGUCUUCGGAUGGAAUUUAGGUAGACUUAGUGGCGGACGGGUGAGUAGCGCGUGGAUAACCUGCCUUAUACAGGGGGAUAACGGAGAGAAAUUUCCGCUAACACCGCAUAAGACCACAGCACCGCAUGGUGCAGGGGUAAAAUAUUUAUAGGUAUAAGAUGGAUCCGCGUCCGAUUAGCUAGUUGGUGAGGUAAAGGCCCACCAAGGCGACGAUCGGUAGCCGGCCUGAGAGGGUGAACGGCCACAUUGGGACUGAGACACGGCCCAAACUCCUACGGGAGGCAGCAGUGGGGAAUAUUGGACAAUGGGGGAAACCCUGAUCCAGCGACGCCGCGUGAGUGAAGAAGUAUUUCGGUAUGUAAAGCUCUAUUAGCAGGGAAGAAAAUGACGGUACCUGACUAAGAAGCCCCGGCUAACUACGUGCCAGCAGCCGCGGUAAUACGUAGGGGGCAAGCGUUAUCCGGAUUUACUGGGUGUAAAGGGAGCGCAGACGGCAAUGCAAGUCUGAAGUGAAAGGUGUGGGCUCAACCCAUGAACUGCUUUGGAAACUGUAUAGCUUGAGUGUCGGAGGGGUAAGCGGAAUUCCUAGUGUAGCGGUGAAAUGCGUAGAUAUUAAGAGGACCACCCGGAGGCGAAGGCCGUUUUAUGGGAUAAUAACUUAUCUUAAGCUCUAAGCCCCUUUGAGCCAUACACUAUC
rnacentral:rRNA from 1 species